rnacentral:rRNA from 1 species
AUUGAACGCUGGCGGAAUGCUUUACACAUGCAAGUCGAACGAUGAAGUCUAGCCUGCUAGACGGAUUAGUGGCGAACGGGUGAGUAAUAUAUCGGAACGUAUCCAUUAAUGGGGGAUAACUAGUCGGAAGAUUGGCUAAUACCGCAUACGUCCUACGGGAGAAAGCUGGGGAUCGUAAGACCUGGCGUUAAUGGAGCGGCCGAUAUCUGAUUAGCUAGUUGGUGAGGUAAAGGCUCACCAAGGCGACGAUCAGUAGCUGGUCUGAGAGGACGACCAGCCACACUGGAACUGAGACACGGUCCAGACUCCUACGGGAGGCAGCAGUGGGGAAUUUUGGACAAUGGGCGAAAGCCUGAUCCAGCCAUCCCGCGUGAGUGAAGAAGGCCUUCGGGUUGUAAAGCUCUUUCGCAAGGGAAGAAAACUUAUCCUCUAACAUAGGGUGAGGUUGACGGUACCUUGAUAAGAAGCACCGGCUAACUACGUACCAGCAGCCGCGGUAACAC